rnacentral:piRNA from 1 species
UGGAUCCGUGAGCCUAUUGAAUUUAGGAGA